UCUCUCUACCAUGCUCCCUCGAGGUUCCCACAAUUCCCAGCACAUGCUGUGCUGGGAAUUGUGGGAACCGCGAAGGAGCAUGGUAGAGAG
rnacentral:miRNA from 1 species